rnacentral:rRNA from 1 species
CCUACGGGAGGCAGCAGUGGGGAAUAUUGGACAAUGGGGGCAACCCUGAUCCAGCCAUGCCGCGUGUGUGAAGAAGGCCCUCGGGUUGUAAAGCACUUUCAGUGAGGAAGAACGCCUGGUGGUUAAUACCCAUCAGGAAAGACAUCACUCACAGAAGAAGCACCGGCUAACUCCGUGCCAGCAGCCGCGGUAAUACGGAGGGUGCGAGCGUUAAUCGGAAUUACUGGGCGUAAAGCGCGCGUAGGUGGCUUGAUAAGCCGGUUGUGAAAGCCCCGGGCUCAACCUGGGAACGGCAUCCGGAACUGUCAAGCUAGAGUGCAGGAGAGGAAGGUAGAAUUCCCGGUGUAGCGGUGAAAUGCGCAGAGAUCGGGAGGAAUACCAGUGGCGAAGGCGGCCUUCUGGACUGACACUGACACUGAGGUGCGAAAGCGUGGGUAGCAAACAGGAUUAGAUACCCUAGUAGUC